UAGGAUGAUAACUUGCUUAGUGGCUGGCCUUCAAAAGGCAGCCUAUCUCCCUGUUAAUUAUGACAAAUUAAACCACAUUACUCAAAGGCCCAAUGAAAACCCGGCAGAAUUUCUUGAGCGCCUUACAGUAGCGCUCCAGCGCUAUACAAGGCUGGACCCAGAGUCACCAGAGGCUAAGGUGGUUCUCAAUACGCAUUUUAUUGCCCAAUCAGCCCCUGAUAUUAGGAAAAAGUUAAAAAAGGCUGAGAACGGUCCUCAGACCCCUCAACGAGAUCUGGUGAGUAUGGCAUUUAAAGUUUUCAAUAAUCGAGAGGAACAGGAGAUUGCCGAUAAGACUGCCCGUGAGAGGGAGAACUAUCAAAUCCUGGCUGCUGCCAUCCGGCCUCCUCUGAGGAGAGGCACCCAACAUACACCACCUGGAGCAUGCUUCAAGUGUGGGCAAGAGGGCCACUGGGCGAAAUUCUGUCCCUCACCACGACCUCCACCUGGACCCUGCCCAAGGUGUGGGCAGCAAGGACAUUGGGGAGUCGAUUGCCCCUCCUCACCUCCACAAGGUAGGCCAGCCCCUCCCCCACCCCGCCCACCCAGGCAGGCGGAGCCAGACAGGUCGGAGAUUUUCUGCUUGGCUACAGAAUGAAGGUGCCCAGGGCCACCUGCUCCCAACAACCAGACCAUCACAAUGACGGAGCCCAGGGUGUGUUUCUAUGUAGCCGGUAAGUUAAUAUCUUUUCUCUUGGAUACGGGAGCGACUUACUCGGUGCUAUGUCAAUAUACAGGCAAGACUUUUCCCUCCCAGAUCUCGGUGGUGGGUGUAGAUGGCCUACCUACCUGUCCCCCAACUACAGGACCAGUAUCAUGUAAAAUAGAAGACUUUCCCUUUUCACACUCCUUCCUAAUCCUACCUCACUGUCCUACCCCACUCCUAGGAAGGGACUUGCUCUCUAAAUUUCAAGUCUCCCUUUCAUUCCAUAUCCCCAAACAGCCUACACCUGUUCUACUUUUAUCUUUAGAUGAACCUCCACCUGUAACUUCCCAACUAGAUCCUUUCCCUUUACCUCCAGAUCUUGUCAACCCUCUUAUCUGGGAUACUUCCACUCCUACUAUGGCUAGACACCAUACUCCUGUCCUGAUUAAACUUAAAAACCCUACCCAUUUUCCUGGUACUUCCCAAUACCCCAUUUCCCUUAGGCACAGGCAAGGUUUAAAACCCAUCAUCCUUCGCCUUAUUAAACAAGGACUUCUCAGACCCACUAACUCCCCCUUUAACACCCCUAUCCUGCCAGUAGUUAAACCUGAUGGGACCUACCGCCUAGUCCAGGACCUGCGCACUAUUAAUGCUGCAGUCCUUCCCAUUCAUCCUGUUGUGCCUAACCCAUAUACCCUCCUUUCACAGAUACCUCCUGGUACCACCCACUUCUCAGUGCUGGACCUCAAGGAUGCAUUCUUCACAAUCCCCCUGCAUCCCGACUGCCAAGAUUUCUUUGCUUUUACUUGGGUGGACCCAGACACUUCAAGGGCACAACAGCUGACCUGGACGGUCCUCCCUCAAGGGUUCCGAGACAGUCCCCAUUUCUUUGGACAGGCUUUAGCAAAGGAUCUCCUCUCUCUUCAGGUGUCUCCUAGCAUUGUUCUCCAGUAUGUGGAUGAUCUUUUGCUUUGCAGCCCUUCCUUUGAGUUGGCUCGCCAACAUACAGCUGACCUCCUCAACUUCCUGUUGACAAAAGGAUAUAGAGUCUCUCCUUCAAAGGCCCAGAUAGCGAAGUCAGAGGUAACAUACUUGGGUUUGUCCAUAACUCCUACAGAGAGAAGAAUUACUCUUGAUAGAAAAGCCUACAUUGAGUCUCUCUCUGUCCCACAGACCAAGGAGGACAUUCUGUCUUUCCUGGGACUUGCAGGCUUCCUUCGUAUUUGGAUACCCGGUUUUGCCACAUUGGCCAAACCUCUUUAUGAGGCAUCCAAAGGUUCCCUAUUGGAGCCACCAGACCCCACAAAGCCCAUUGACACCCCAUUUAAAGUUCUGAAGCAAGCGCUUCUUCGGGCUCCAGCACUGGCUCUACCCAACCUCAAGGAACCCUUUAUACUCUAUGUCACUGAGAAGUGGGGAAUUGGCCUUGGGGUUCUUGGACAAAUGUCAGGCCCCUCCUUUAGACCUGUGGCCUACCUCUCAAAACAGCUAGACCCAACGGUAAAAGGCUGGCCAGCAUGUCUUCGAGCUUUGGCAGCAGCAGCCACCUUAGCACAGGAGAGCACAAAACUCACUUUUGGCCAACCCACUACCAUUCGCUCUCCCCACAGACUAAAGGACCUUUUGUCUCAUAAAUCCCUGUCUUCCCUUUCCCCUUCCCGCCUACAGCUGUUUCAUGUUACUUUUAUUCAAAACCCUGACUUUUCACUGGAAAGCUGCUCCCCGCUCAAUCCAGCUACCUUGCUUCCAUCCAAUUCUAACCCUCUUUCCCAUUCCUGUACAGAGACCUUGGAGGAAUUCACACCCCAUUUUACAGGUAUCUCGGAAACUCCUCUUCCUGACCCAGAAGACACCUGGUACAUCGAUGGCAGUUCCAUAUCUACCUCUUCAGGAAGCCGAGUUGCAGGCUAUGCCAUCGUUAAUAACUCUACCAUUCUUGAAAGCAGCCCUCUGCCCCCUAGCACUACCUCACAAAAGGCAGAACUUAUAGCUUUAACUAGGGCCUUAAUUCUAGCAAAGGGUCGGAAGAUUAAUAUUUAUACAGACUCAAAAUAUGCCUAUCAUAUUCUCCAUUCUCAUGCAGCAAUCUGGAAGGAGCGUGGCUUCCUGACCACCAAAGGGACUCCCAUUACUAAUGCCUCACUUAUUCUUAAACUAUUAGAAGCUGCUUCCCUUCCCCAGCAGGUAGCGGUCAUCCACUGCAGAGGACACCAGACAGGAUUGGAUGCCAUUACAGUCGGCAAUUCAAAAGCAGACCGGGAGGCAAAGCUAGCAGCCCAGAGACAACUCCAGGGACAACUUCCAGCUCCCUUGCUACUGGUAUUGCCUUCAAUUCAACCCUCUUAUACCCCACAGGAGCUCGAGGAACUUACGCACCAGGGAGCCUCCCAGGAAGCACAGGGAUGGUGGUCCCUGGAAGGACGAGUUGUUCUUCCCGAGGCACAAGCAGACAGCUUUCUUUCCCAGGUUCACCAGGCGCUGCACAUUGGAUACAAGCCUCUCUCCCACCUUCUUAAACCUUUAAUCCAUUGCCCUAGCCUAACUACUCGACUAAAGGCUAUUACCCAAGCCUGCCCCACAUGUUCUCUUACCUCCUCACAGGGUGGUCUCCGACCAGCUGCAUUCCCCACACACCAAGCACGGGGACAUACCCCAGGGGAAGACUGGCAGAUAGACUUCACUCACAUGCCCAGAUGUAAGCGGCUGAAAUACCUUCUAACUAUGGUUGAUACCUUUUCAGGAUGGAUUGAAGCCUAUCCCACAACGUUGGAGACUGCUGACACUGUUGCCUCUGUCCUUAUUAAAGAAAUUAUUCCUAGGUUUGGCUUACCCAGGUCACUUCAGUCUGACAAUGGACCUGCUUUCAUCUCCAAAGUGACCCAACAGGUGGCAUCCUCUCUAAACAUCCAGUGGAAUCUUCACAUUCCUUAUAGACCUCAGUCUUCUGGAAAGGUUGAAAGAGCUAAUGCGCUCCUCAAAACACAACUUACUAAACUUUCUCUAGAGCUCCAGAAAUCCUGGCCAGAACUGUUACCCCUGGCGCUCACCCGCUUACGUGUUUCUCCCCGCAGCCCUACUUUCCUCAGCCCCUUUGAGUUAAUGUAUGGAAGACCUUUUCUCCUAGGUAAUUUCCCUACUGACAAUGCCAAGACUCCACUAAUAGACUACCUUCCUGUCCUAACCUUUCUUAGGCACAUGCUGCGCCAACAUGCUGACCAGUGUCUCCCUCAGCCUCAUCAAGGCCCCUUUCCCACUCCCCCAAUUUUGCCUGGUGAUCAAGUGUUUCUCAAGACCCUUAAUCCAUCUGGUUUACACCCUAAGUGGACAGGCCCUCACCAGGUUCUGCUGACAACCCCCACCGCAGUCAAGCUCAAUGGACAGCCCCAGUGGAUUCACCUGUCAAGAAUAAAAAGGGCUCCUGUUCCUGCCCCUUCUAUACCAACCCUGACCUCCAGGUACACCUGUUCCCCCCUCGGGCCUACCAAGGUAAGGCUGUCUCGCAUCCCUGAAGAUCCGGGUGAGUAAAACUGAGCUAACUGCUCUCCUCCCCAAAGACCUCACUAUCUCAUCCCUUAGGACACCUCCAAGCCAUGGACAUCCAAUCUUUUCUUUCCAGUAAUAUAUUUGCUUUUCAUCUUUGUUCAGCCCCCUGCCUGAGAAGACUUCCUCCAGACUUCAUCUAAGAGACUCGCUUCUUGCAGACAUCAUGGAACUGGCAGACCUGGAAGCAGUCACCUUCUACUAGGUCACCCCUCUUCCUCCCCCCCCCCUUUCCUUUUUCAGCCAUGCUUCUCCACCAUGCUGGGUGGGGGCAACAGUUCAGUCAAAUUAACUUCUUUUCCUGCCUGAAUAGUGCAUGGUGUUCUUUUCAUCAGCUAAUUUCCUAACCACCCCUUUUUUGUGAACUGAACUGCCUUGACACUAUGCGAGAUUUUUCACCGAUACCAUUUCUGGCCUUCACAUCCACGUCCACACCACUUCUCUACUCUGGUUUCCGUCAAUGCCUCAUAAAACUUCUCCAGACUUCGUCCAAGAGACUUGCCUCCUCCAAACUUCAUCGAAGGACUCAACACCCAAGUGACAGCUGCAGCCUGCUGCCUUCUCCCAGCAUGGACCACAUCCCAGCCUUUUACCCCUACGACGCCCUUUGCCAGCAGGAAGUA